rnacentral:rRNA from 1 species
AAAGGAAUUGACGGGUCCCCGCACAAGCAGCGGAGCGUGUGGUUUAAUUCGAUGUUACACGAAGAACCUUACCCGGGUUUGACAUACAAGUGGUAGUGAAGCGAAAGCGGAACGACCCUUCGGGGAGCUUGAACAGGUGCUGCAUGGCUGUCGUCAGCUCGUGUCGUGAGAUGUCCGGUUAAGUCCGGUAACGAGCGCAACCCUCGCUGUAUGUUACAAGUGUCAUACAGGACCGCCGGUAUCAAGCCGGAGGAAGGUGGGGAUGACGUCAAGUCAGCAUGGCCUUUAUAUCCGGGGCUACACACACGCUACAAUGGCCGGUAUAAUAGGUUGCUAAGCCGCGAGGUAGAGCCAAUCCUCAAAGCCGGUCUCAGUUCAGAUCGCAGGCUGCAACUCGCCUGCGUGAAGUUGGAGUUGCUAGUAAACGCGCGUCAGCUAUAGUGCGUUGAAUACGUUCCCGGGGAUU